rnacentral:rRNA from 1 species
UUCUAAGAGAUAGGGAAACUCCGUUUCAAGGCGCCCGCUUGCUCGGGCCGUCCAUCGAAAGGGAAUGCGGUCAAGACUCCGCAACCGGGAGGCAGACUUUGAGCGGCAACGCAAACGAACUCGGAGAUGCCGGCGACUGGACCUCGGGAAGAAUUUUCGCUUCUCCUUAACGGCCUCGGGCCACCCUGGAAGUGCAUUAU